rnacentral:rRNA from 1 species
UACAGAGGGUGCAAGCGUUGUUCGGAAUUAUUGGGCGUAAAGCGAGUGUAGGCGGUUAUCUAAGUCUGGUGUGAAAGCCCAGGGCUCAACCCUGGAAGUGCACUGGAUACUGGGUAACUAGAGGGCGAUAGAGGAGAACGGAAUUAAUGGUGUAGGGGUGAAAUCCGUAGAUAUCAUUAGGAACACCGAAAGCGAAGGCUGUUCUCUGGGUCGUUUCUGACGCUAAGACUCGAAAGCAUGGGUAGCAAACAGG